ACGCUCGACACCUACGGGAGGCGGCAGUGGGGGAUAUUGCACAAUGGGCGCAAGCCUGAUGCAGCGACGCCGCGUGAGGGAAGACGGUCUUCGGAUUGUAAACCUCUGUCUUCGGGGACGAUAAUGACGGUACCCGAGGAGGAAGCCACGGCUAACUACGUGCCAGCAGCCACGGUAAUCUGAGCGGGCUGGCAAGGC
rnacentral:rRNA from 1 species